rnacentral:rRNA from 1 species
AGAGUUUGAUCCUGGCUCAGGAUGAACGCUGGCGGUAUGCCUAAGAUAUGCAAGUCGUAUGCUCCUUCGGGGGCAUGGCGAACGGCUGAGUAAUGCGUAGGAAUCUACCCUUAAGAGGGAGAUAACCCACCGAAAGGUGGGAUAAUAUCCCAUAUUCUUAUUACCUUCGGGUUUAUAAGGAAAGCUUUUGCGCUUAAGGAUGAGCCUACGNUCCUAUCAGGUUGUUGGCGGGGUAAAUGCCCACCAAGCCUAUGACGGGUAGCUGGUCUGAGAGGAUGAUCAGCCAGAAUGGGACUGAGAUACGGCCCAUACUCCUACGGAAGGCAGCAAUUAGGAAUUAUGCGCAAUGGACGAAAGUCUGACGCUGCGAUACCGCGUGAAGNGAUGAAGGCCCUCGGGUUGUAAACUUCUUUUAUGAACNGAACAAGUUUCUGAGUGUAGUUCAUGAAUAAGCAUCUCCUAACUACGUGCCAGAAGGAUCGGUGAUACGUAGGAUGCAAGCGUUGUCCGGAAUUACUGGGCGUAAAGAGACGCGUAGGCGACCCGAUAAGUUUUAUGUUAAAGCUUUGAGCUCAACUCAAAAAUCGCAUAAAAAACUAUCGGGAUUGAGACAGAUAGAGGAAAGGGGAAUUCCUGGUGGAGCGGUGGAAUGUGUUGAUAUCAGGAGGAACACCAAUGGCGANAGGCACCUUUCUGGAUCUUGUCUGACGCUAAGGCUCGAAAGCGUGGGGAGCAAAACGGAUUAGAUACCCUGGUAGUC